CGUUUUAGUUCUUUUUUGAGUGUCAUUCAUGCUACCGCAAACUUAUCUCUAAACUUGGUAGAAAAAAAAGACAUUGCUUCAACCGAACUCCUUGCGAACGAUCUGAGUUCAUUCUUGAAGAGGAAGUUGUGUGUUUGUGAACUUGAAAAGAACUGUGAAAUCAUAUACGAAUAGAAUGUAGAUGUUCUAUAAUUGCCCGUUGGAUUCGGCUUAAAAUUUGAUGUCAUGCUGUUCGACAACGAUUUUAUAAAGGCCUUGUUCAAGAACGAAAAAUUCAUUUAAAUUAAAUUACCACGAAAGGCUAGAAGACCUAAAUUAGAAGUGAUCCUCUGGUUAAAUUAGAUUUAUAUGGUAUUCAAAAACUGCAAUUCUUCGGAAUUAAACUAAAACUAGAAAUUUAACAAUUUCGCAUAAAAUUUCUAGUAAACGAUAACUAUAAAAAUCUUCAGCUAUUAAAAAUGUUCAACUGAAAGAAAUUACGAUUUCCAUAAUGCAGGAGCAAUAAAUUCGCAAGAAAAGCGUUAAUUAUAGUACAAUUUGCUCGAAAAUUUACAGUAUCGUUAU